rnacentral:rRNA from 1 species
CCUACGGGAGGCAGCAGUGAGGGAUAUUGCACAAUGGGCGAAACCCUGAUGCAGCGACGCCGCGUGAGUGAAGAAGUAUUUAGGUAUGUUAAGCUCUAUCAGUAGGGAAGUAAAUGACAGUACCUGACCAAGUAUCCCCGGCUAACUACGUUCCAGCAGCCGCGGCAAUACGUAGGGGGCCAGCGUUAUCCGGAUUUACUGGGUGUUAAGGGAGCGUAGACGGUUUUGUAAGUCAGGAGUGAAAGGCCGGGGCCCAACCCCGGGACUGCUUUGGAAACUGUGUAACUGGAGUACAGGAGGGGCAGGCGGAAUGCGUGGUGUAGCGGUGAAAUGCGUAGAUAUCACGAAGAACACCGACGGCGAAGGCAGCCUGCUGGACUGAAACUGACGUUGAUGCUCGAAAGCGUGGGGAGCAAACAGGAUUAGAUACCCCAGUAGUC